GACGAACGCUGGCGGCGUGCCUAAUACAUGCAAGUCGAGCGGAGUUAUGUUGGAAGCUUGCUUCCAACAUUACUUAGCGGCGGACGGGUGAGUAACACGUAGGCAACCUGCCCUCAAGACUGGGAUAACUACCGGAAACGGUAGCUAAUACCGGAUAAUUUCUUUGUUCUCCUGAAGAGAGAAUGAAAGGCGGAGCAAUCUGCCACUUGGGGAUGGGCCUGCGGCGCAUUAGCUAGUUGGUGGGGUAAUGGCUCACCAAGGCGACGAUGCGUAGCCGACCUGAGAGGGUGAACGGCCACACUGGGACUGAGACACGGCCCAGACUCCUACGGGAGGCAGCAGUAGGGAAUCUUCCGCAAUGGGCGAAAGCCUGACGGAGCAACGCCGCGUGAGUGAUGAAGGUUUUCGGAUCGUAAAGCUCUGUUGCCAGGGAAGAACGUCCGGUAGAGUAACUGCUACCGGAGUGACGGUACCUGAGAAGAAAGCCCCGGCUAACUACGUGCCAGCCGCCGCAGUAAUAC
rnacentral:rRNA from 1 species